UGUAGCUGGUAGGAACAGGUAUUUCGUCCAAAAAAACAAAGAAAAGAAUGGAACCCAAACCUAAAUUUAUUUCACCCUUCCUUCCUUGUAUCAGCAGACACAGAAAACCAAUCCUGACUCCCCCCUUAGAUCUACUCAUUCACAAAUUCUCACUCCUUUGUUCAUAAUCAAAACCCAGAUUUAUCUUCGUCAAUCAAUCUAUGUAUCCCUAAUUCACUAAUUUUUUUACCUCACCGGAAUUUAUCUUCUUCAAUUGAUCCAACAAUGUGAAUUUCGUCAUCUCUGCUCUCUUCCCCUAUUUCGCCGCCGCUGUUUGGGAUUCUGAUGGUUGUUGACGCUAUCGUUGCUAUUUAUGAACUGAUUUCUUACUCAUUUCCGGCAAGAAGUGCCCGCUGGCGCUUCGCCGUCGCCAAAGGCUGCUAAUUGUUAACCAUUGUUGUCGAGACUCGUCGAAGUCACUCUGUAGCCUCGCCGGAGCUGCUGUUGCUGCGGUUCUGUUGGUGUUGUCAGAUCUAACGUAACACAAGAGUGGAUAAAUCUAAAGCUUAAAGGGAAGUUAAAGGAACUUUUGGUAAGAAAUAUGUUGUAGCAGUUUUGUUUACACCAAGCUACUGUAAUAUGAUUAUCAUUUUCCUUAUGGCACAAGCUGAAAAUCUGGUCGUGAAUGAUAUUAUAAAGGUUCUGUAGAAGGUGUUUGAUUAUCUGAAUUGAUAUGCUUGUGUUUAUAUUGUGACUCUUGACAUAUUAAGUUGCCAAGGCGCAAGUGAUGGCUUAUCUUACUUAAUUAGCGAGACAGGUCGUCUGCAACGAUUAACUCUAGCUUGUGGUUAUCUUCUAUAACUCUUUAAGAUAUUUUAUUCUUGCUUUUGAAAAAUAUGUGCGUCAUUUUCUCUAUUAAUUUUUUUUUCAGGUUAUUCUUGUCACUUGUCCUUUCCUCAGGCUUUUGUUUGUGGAUUAGUGUUUUCAUUUCACUAUUAAGUUUGGGUGACUUGUUUAGGAGUCUGUACAUUUUUUUAGGCCUAAGGGGAUGUUUGGUAUGGCUUUUUUCUAGUCCGGAAACGGAUUCAAGUAACCAUUACCCUUACUGAAUGUUUGGUCAGAGUUAUGGAGUAGCGAUACCGUUAUUUAGGGGUAAUCUGUUCCUCCCCUUUGUUACUGGUGAAGGAAAUAUGUCCUUCACCCAAGGUGCAUUAAGUCUAAUACCACGGUUCAGAUUAAUUGCGAACAAUUAAUUCAGUGAGAUCAAGUGAUCGGAAUAGCUAGCUGGAGCAAUGCUUCCGAUCAGUGAGUUCUAAUGAAUAUUAAGCUCACAACUUACUCUUGACUGAACCUACAAGGUCACACCAAUGACACAUAACAGAUCACCGGAUUAAAUGAAUCGAAAAUUCAUUUAAUAGCUUUUCAGAAAUUAGUUUUGGAAAACGUAUUAUACGAUACGACCUUGCAUCGGAAUCGUAUAUCGUAUCGCGAAUAUUCGUAAGCUAGGUGAAACGAAUAAAUUGUAUCGUACGACGGUGAUUCGUCGUAUACGAAACGAUAAAUAAUAUCCGGAACGAUAUUAAGUCGCGAACACAAAGAGUGGCCCACGAGCCGAGUGCGCGAGGCACUCAAGGCCCAUGGGCGCUUGGCACGCAAGCAAAGGAAACACGGCAGCGCUGGCCCAUGGCCGAGCAACUGCGCAUGUGUGCGCGCGGGCCAAGUGCAACAACAUAGCAGCAGCUGCGCGCGGCCCACGGUCCAGCACGCUGCGUGCUCGUGUGUGUUGCAUGGGCUUGCUGGCCGGUCGUGGCCCUUGUGGCUGGGACGGUUAGCAAGGUUAUUCUAAUAACCUUCUAACCCAUGUUUUCCAUAAUACAAUUCAGUCAUAUAUCAAACCCUAAAGGAGGAGAGAGGAACCCUAAUUCUCUCUUAGCCUCCAUGGAUGUGUUCUUCCCAAAAGCAAUAACUCUUGAUUGAUUGUCUAAGCUACGGUUAUCAAGACGGAUCUGAUCGUGUCGGUGAACCAAGUAGAGGAACGACAAGUGGAAUUCUAAGUUCGUGUUCGUUGACAGAUUACUAGGUAAAAUACGCUUCAAAUGUAAGUUUGCUUAAUCUGUGCUUUAUACAUGUUUCCUGGCUUUGGGGAUUGUUUCCGCACAUGUUAUUAUGUUUAACUGUAUUCCCCUACAGUGGUAUCAUGAGCCUUAUGUAUUUAAAGCAUAUUUUAGCAUGUUUUAUUUGUUUUUGUUGCUGUCGAAAUUUUCGAAUUUUUGGUGAUUUUUUCGGAUUUUUUAUUGGAUUAUUGGAUUAAUCGCAUAAGCUGUUCCGAAAUAAAAAAGAUUCGUUUUUUCGACUUUUCAAACCCUAAUCUGAUUGAAAACGAUUUUCUAAGAUCAAAUCAUGGGAACGGAAUUGAAAAACAGGUCUCGAAGUGUCGUUUUUUGGGCGUUUUUUUUAAUUUUUAAUAAAAAUUAAAAGUGUCGGAAAGUAAUUCAAUUAAAAGGCUGCGGGGUAUGCGAGCUUGCUCGUGUGCCUCGUAGGCUACACAGGCGCCACAAUGGGCUGGGUGCAAGCCUAGCCCAACCAUGCACUUGGACUUUUUUCCUUGAAAAUUGUUUAUUUCGUUGGGCUUAACAUGUUUGCAUUAAUUUGGGCUAACGGGAUAUUUAAUUUAAUAUUUUAUUUGCUUGGGCCGGGCCGCGAGUUUUAAUUUAAUAUUUUAUAAUUAAUUAUCCGGAAUAAUUAUUGGUUUGAGCGGGAGCCACUAAAUGAAACUAAAAUGAAAUAAUCAUUUUUAAUUAUUUUUGUAGGUCGCAUUAUUUUAAUUAAAUUCAAUUUUAAUUAGAAUAAAGUCUAAGGAUUAAUAAUUUGGAAAUUGAUUAAUCUUUUAGGACGCGUUUAUGUGAACGUGAAUUUUAAUUAAUUCACGUAAAUACUUGCAUAAUUAUAUGGGCCAUUCGUUUUAGCAUACGAAUGGGUGAAUGCAUAGAAUGUAUAUUUUAUGUAAUGCAGGUACUCCAAGUGACUAGUAUGGCCAAUUUAGGAUAGUUAAAUACGGUCUGCGAACCGUUCUAUCUUUGAAUGUAAAGUUUUAAAUAUGGUCUGCGCACCAUUGAAAUUUUGAUGUAAUUUUAUUAUUUUCAAGUAUUUCUAAGUUUAGAACUUUAAGUUAGCAUUUGAACAAAGAUUCAAGACGAUGCCAAGCUAACAAGAUGGUAAUGAAGAUUGGAUGCUUCAAGACAAGAUGUUUCGGGCCAUACUAGUUCACCAUUUAUUUAUGCAUUUUGAUAUAUAUUAUGCUUGAAUGUAUGUAUGUAUGCUUUGCAUGAAUAGGUUGUUUCGUAUGACUCGAUUAGAUUAAGUUCACUAAAUAAUCGAACCAACAUAGAAACAACUAGGUCCGAAGUAAUAUUGAGUUCAAAAGUUGCCUUCCAAAUCAAGCACUUAAAAAAAAUCUAGGGAUCUAAGAUAGUAGGUUUCCGCCAAAGCGAGGUGCUAUUUUAGUUGAGUUAGGUGGUAAGGCGUCCCAAAGGAGCACGUUGAUUGUGGUUUCAACUCAAAGAACAAUGGCAUUAUGUUGUGGCAAUGGGAUAAAUUAUGGUAUUAAUUUAUUAACCAAGAGUAAUUUGGAGAUUACUAGCAAUAGGUUUCCUUACCUAGAAUCUUAAACUACUUAAGACAUGCAAAAGCUGCUUAAGGAUUUAUGACUUUUAGGGUCUUGGAAUCUUUUCAUUCAUUUUUGGACCAUGUUUUUGCUUUUGCAUGAAUGAAAUGUUUAAUAGCUUUAAUGAUUGCGUGAAUGCUUUUAUUUCAAGUUAUUAAAGUAUGAUAAAUUUUUUCUUUGCUAGUUCAUUCUAUAGAA